UCUUAUCACUCGUUUACUCAUUAAUCGCUUUGUUUCUUUCUUUGUCCAUUUAGAUUUUCAUUUUUCCUGCUUUCCUCCUCCACUGUGUGGUGAUGUCAGUGCCGGUAGGUUGAGGACAGUGUUUCAGAUCCGUGUGGAUUUUUCUUCACUCCUUCCUCUACUGGAUCACACUCCCCUGCCCCAGAUGCCAACUCAAGAGUAAAUUAUUGCUGCGGUGUGUCAUCUGUGAUCCUCAAAUACUGGGAGCUUAAUGUGAUCGAUCGGCCAGGCCCUUUCAAGAUCAGCGCCAGUAUAAGCAUCUCUUCCCCUAACACACAUGCUGCCUCUUUCCCCUCAGAAAACCUACUGGAAAUUAUUCAAAAUGAUGCACCCAUUUCCCGUGAAAGUGAUACCUCACUUUAUGGAGGUAUGUAUCACUUAUUCACAGCUAUGAAUGCUUGAA